rnacentral:misc_RNA from 1 species
GUAUUGAUCGCGUAUCACCGCAAAAAGAAAAUACAUUCUACACUGUAUCAAGUUUUGUGUGAAAACGUGAGCCCUCCUGCAAAGGGGACCCACGCGGUGAUGCACAAGGGGUGAAAUGGAUGUGUGAGAGUGCUCAGGCGUGCACGACCUUUUGAAAGGUCAGCGACAGCCCUCGCACCCCCGUUGUAUGAUAAUGAUCCUUCCGCAGGUUCACCUACGGAAA